rnacentral:rRNA from 1 species
UGAGUAACCUGCCCUUAACUCUGGGAUAAGCCUGGGAAACUGGGUCUAAUACCGGAUAUGACUCCUCAUCGCAUGGUGGGGGGUGGAAAGCUUUUUGUGGUUUUGGAUGGACUCGCGGCCUAUCAGCUUGUUGGUGAGGUAAUGGCUCACCAAGGCGACGACGGGUAGCCGGCCUGAGAGGGUGACCGGCGACACUGGGACUGAGACACGGCCCAGACUCCUACGGGAGGCAG